rnacentral:rRNA from 1 species
GUGUCAGCCGUCGCGGUAAUACGUAGGGUGCGAGCGUUGUCCGGAAUUAUUGGGCGUAAAGAGCUCGUAGGCGGUUUGUCGCGUCGGCCGUGGAAACCGGGGGCUUAACCCUCGGCGUGCGGUCGAUACGGGCAGACUUGAGUUCGGCAGGGGAGACUGGAAUUCCUGGUGUAGCGGUGGAAUGCGCAGAUAUCAGGAGGAACACCGGUGGCGAAGGCGGGUCUCUGGGCCGAUACUGACGCUGAGGAGCGAAAGCGUGGGGAGCAAACAGGAUUAGAUACCCGCGUAGUCC